CUUGCUUCUUAAAGCAGGACGUGGACUGUGCGGUGGUGUUGUGCCCCACAUGUCACUGAGUGAGGGAGACACAUCCAGCGAGAGGGUCAAGAGGUCAAGACUAGUUCAGCUCAGUAUGUCAGCUGCAUGGAUGAAAAGGAGGUGCAGAUAUGCAGGGCCUACAGAAGAGACUGAUGUUUGAAGAAGCGUGUUAAUGGUUGCUUUGCACCUGCAAAGUGUCUUUCACUCGUCCACCCACAAAGCCGUCGCGUUUGAGCCCAUCAAAGGUGGUCUCUCCCUCGCUGAUUUUCAGAGGUCAGGGGCGUGAUGUCCAUCCACAACUCCUGGUUUCACAAAAGCACAUGCAAGAAUUGCGUUUGGACAAUCAGCUCCGGACCUCCAUCCUUUCUUGGUCAUUGGUAAGUGUUUAUACUUGGACACUCGGGUGCAUGCCCUACUUAAAGUAGGCUUCAGUCCACCAAGGCCAGAGACUGAUUGGUGUUGGUCCACCCAAAAAAUCUCUUCUCCACUUGUUGAGGUUUACUUUCAUAAUGGAGGAUGAACAAAAAAACUAAAAGGAUUGUGAGCCCAUCACAGGGGAAUGAGCGGGAAGGUGAAGGGGAAAAAAAAGAAGAGAAAAGAAACAGAAAGCUUUAACUCAUGCUUGUCCUCUGUGCCGGUGACACCAUGAUGAACGAAGGGGUCACCACCCGGGGGCAGGCCCGUCCAAAGCGAGCCAGCGAUGUGACCUUGUACAAAAGAAGAAGUGAGUCCCCCAACGGUCACACGGAUCAAAGAAGACAAAAGCCUGAGAUGAUAACUCAGCACAGCAGUGGAGCACAUUAUUAUCAGACACAUGAGCAGAAGCAGUAGUAAAUUUCACAGAGUUCGAUGCAGGCGGGUGGACGUGGGAGGGCCUGAAAACGAAAAAAGUAAAGCUCUGACCUGCUCUAAUCUGAUUUGCCGUACGCAACAUUUUCUCUUUAUCUGAUUCGCUCCGUGAGGCGUUUUCUCUUUCUGUGGGACCCCGUCUUUAUCCAAAUGAUGUGGUCUUUGGUGAGGCCUGGUCUAUUCAUGGGAACCCCAUGUGCAGUGUGCCCACCAUUGAGGUGCAGAGUAGCAUGGCCACAAAGGAUGGCAGCGCUUCAGAAAGUCCUCUCCUUACAGUUGAAGUCUCUGUUCAGGAUAAAGUUUGUGGUUAAACCACAAAACCAGAAAAUCCAACAAAUGUAGUAAAAUUACAAAAAAGUGAAAAAAAGGUGUUAAAUGUGGUUUAAACUGCUGAAAUAAAGAGGAAGAGAGUGUUAUAUUGUGAUUUUAAACAUAAAAACAUUUGAUGUUGGUCUUCUUCGUAAAGUAAAUGAUUUCUGUCAUGAAUUAACAUCAGACCGAAUGGUUCAAACUUUUUCCUGUGAAACUGACUUUGAAAUAAAGUUUAUCGUCCUUGACUAAUACCUGCAUUUAAAAUAUUUCUUCUACAC